GACAUGAAUAGCACACAGAAGUGAACUUCUACUCAAUGGCUUCUUAUAUAAAUCAAUCUAAAUUAUGGGGGAUUUUGUGCGUUGCUUUUAUUUUGGUCUCGGGAUUCAUAACUUUAGAAGCCGUUCCUCCCGGGCCGACAUAUAGGUGCGCUGGCCGCAAGGAUUGCCUAGAUGAUCAAAAGUGCACUAACUAUUGCACUUUUUUCGGAUAUGAUAAAGGUGGUAGAUGUGUUGGAUACGAUCCACAAUCUAAGAUGUGUUGUUGUAUUAUGUAAUGUUACUGUACUUUUUAAUACACCUCUGAAUGAAUAAAACACAUACAUGAGAUACUUUUGAAACUUUGGAAAACUUUAUGUACUGCGUGGUGAAAGUUAAUGAAAUAGUUAUUCAUCUCUUGUUUA